UACGGAAGGCAGCAGUGGGGAAUAUUGCACAAUGGGCGCAAGCCUGAUGCAGCCAUGCCGCGUGUAUGAAGAAGGCCUUCGGGUUGUAAAGUACUUUCAGUCGUGAGGAAGGUGUUAAGGUUAAUAACCUUAGCAAUUGACGUUAGCGACAGAAGAAGCACCGGCUAACUCCGUGCCAGCAGCCGCGGUAAUACGGAGGGUGCGAGCGUUAAUCGGAAUUACUGGGCGUAAAGGGCACGCAGGCGGUUAAUUAAGUUGGAUGUGAAAUCCCCGGGCUUAACCUGGGAAUGGCAUUCAGGACUGGUUAGCUAGAGUCUUGUAGAGGGGGUAGAAUUCCAUGUGUAGCGGUGAAAUGCGUAGAGAUGUGGAGGAAUACCGGUGGCGAAGGCGGCCCCUGGACAAAGACUGACGCUCAUGUGCGAAAGCGUGGGGAGCGAAAC
rnacentral:rRNA from 1 species